UGGAGGAAAGUAAGGAUGGCCUGAGCCUGCAUAUGGGGCUGAGAGCCAGCCAGUAUCUGUGGUGUUAAAACGGGUUGAAGAGGGAGAAGGCUGUGAGAAUUAAAAGCCUUAUGAGUCAGGCAAGGCAGGGGAGAUGGGAAGUCAUAGGAACAAAGCAUCUGUAUCUUAGAAUAAUGGCUUGUUUAUAUAAGUCACUUACAUUACAAAAUUAUCCUUCACUGUAUUUUAUGGGAGAAAGUUACAUGUUCAAGUUGGGUAAAGGUAAAAGUCACAAGACAUAAUCCACAAUAUUAGCAAAGAUCUACACGAUAAAUGCAACACUUAUGUGGCUUACCCUGAUCCUUUGGAAGCAAAUAGUACACUGCAAUAAAUGCCUUGAUGGCAGCAUGGACUUGUUCACAGAACUUCUGGGUUUCCUAUGAAAGGUCCAGAACAGUGUUUAUGUAUCAUUUGUGUAAAAAGAAGCUGACACAUGCAUAAUUUUCAAGUAUUUUCUUUGAUGGAGAUGAGACCUGAAGUUGUGACCAAAGCACCGCUGCAGCAAGCUCCAACACAUGUAAGCCAUCAAGGGGAUGUUAAAAAACGCCAGCUGGAAAAGAACAGAACCAUAGCUUACUCCCAAGUCCUUGGAAGAGGUUCACUCAGUGCUCAAUGGUGCCCAGGCUGGAGUGCAGUGGCGUGAUCUCGGCUCGCUACAACCUCGACCUCCCAUGCCUUGGGAUCCUGUUGAUCUGUGACCUUACCCCCAACCCUGUGCUCUCUGAAACAUGUGGUGUAUCCACUCAGGGUUGAAUGGAUUAAGGGCGGUGCAAGAUGUGCUUUGUUAAACAGAUGCUUGAAGGCAUCACCACUCCCUAAUCUCAAGUACCCAGGGACACAAAAACUGCGGAAGGCCGCAGGGUCCUCUGCCUAGGAAAACCAGAGACCUUUGUUCACUUGUUUAUCUGCUGACCUUCCCUCCACUAUUGUCCUGUGAUCCUGCCAAAUCCCCCUCUGCGAGAAACACCCAAGAAUGAUCAAUAAAAAAAAAAAAAAAAAGAAAAACCUCAAGGAGAACAAGUUGGUGAAAUAUCUCUCCAUCAUUUCAGGAAUAAUUGAUU
rnacentral:lncRNA from 10 species